AUCCCUUCUUCAGCCUUUUGACUGCGAUCAAGAGGAGUUUCUAUUCUUACCACUUUAAUACCUGAUACACCCUCCAUCUGAAGAAAAUAGAACGAUAUAUUGAGUGAAAUUUUGGAGGAGGUGAAAUAGAAACCUAUUCUACACUACACAUUGAUCUGGAAUUACAGCAUUGUUAGGAAAUACACAGCCCUU